UACGAAGGGGGCUAGCGUUGCUCGGAACCACUGGGCGUAAAGGGUGCGUAGGCGGGUCUUUAAGUCAGGGGUGAAAUCCUGGAGCUCAACUCCAGAACUGCCUUUGAUACUGAAGAUCUUGAGUGCGGGAGAGGUGAGUGGAACUGCGAGUGUAGAGGUGAAAUUCGUAGAUAUUCGCAAGAACACCAGUGGCGAAGGCGGCUCACUGGCCCGAUACUGACGCUGAGGCACGAAAGCGUGGGGAGCAAACAGG
rnacentral:rRNA from 1 species